rnacentral:rRNA from 1 species
UCCAGACUCCUACGGGAGGCAGCAGUGGGGAAUAUUGCACAAUGGGGGAAACCCUGAUGCAGCGACGCCGCGUGAAGGAAGAAGUAUUUCGGUAUGUAAACUUCUAUCAGCAGGGAAGAAAAUGACGGUACCUGACUAGGAAGCCCCGGCUAACUACGUGCCAGCAGCCGCGGUAAUACGUAGGGGGCAAGCGUUAUCCGGAUUUACUGGGUGUAAAGGGAGCGUAGGCGGUGCAGCAAGUCAGAAGUGAAAGCCCGGGGCUCAACUCCGGGACUGCUUUUGAAACUGUUGAACUAGGUUGCAGGAGAGGUAAGUGGAAUUCCUAGUGUAGCGGUGAAAUGCGUAGAUAUUAGGAGGAACACCAGUGGCGAAGGCGGCUUACUGGACUGUAACUGACGCUGAGGCACGAAAGUGUGGGGAGCAAACAGGAUUAGAUACCCCCGUA